CCCUGGUUGGCCCCCCCCCCCCCGACAGCCCAAGGCGGACAGCGAUAGGCUCCUGAAGACGCUAGUUUUGGCCAGUCCCGGCCAGUCUGCCAAUAGGCCGGCGCCUGCGGAGUGCAGAUCGCGGUCCGCUUCGCCGAGGCUGGAGCGCUAACGAGGCAACAGGCUCGGCGGGUCCGGCCGGUGUUCCCCGAAGGACACCAGCCCAAUGGAGAUGGUCUGCAGGAAUGGCCGGAUGGCGGGUGUGAACUGUGGAGAGAGGCUGCUGGGUCACCGGCCACCAGGAGAGGCACCCAGAGCAGGCGGGAACGAGGUACAGGCUCCCUGCGGGCAGGGACUGUUUCAUUCACUGCUGUACCCCAGCCCUGGCAGGGUGCCUGGGCCACAGCCAGCACAUAGUACUUGGUGCUUGAUGGACUGCGAAUCCCACUCUAUGAAGCUGCUGUCAUUUACUUCCCAUCUAUGGGGCAGGGCUCUUUGAAGAUGAGGGCAGAGGAGACCUGG